rnacentral:lncRNA from 1 species
UCCCACCCCCGCAGUCUUCCUGGAAUGCUUCCUGUUUUGUUCACGGUGGGGCCAGUCCUCCAGGGAUCCGCAUCUCUUCGUUUGCCUUCGUCUGGCUGAGCCGGGCUGGUGCGCUGAGCUCUAGGUGCAGGCGGAAGCUGGGUCAGGUGCGCGGCCGCACUUCUGGUUGCGCGGCCCACACUGGCCGCCAUUGUGGUGGAA